UCCUACGGGAGGCAGCAGUGGGGAAUAUUGCACAAUGGGGGAAACCCUGAUGCAGCGACGCCGCGUGAGUGAAGAAGUAUUUCGGUACGUAAAGCUCUAUCAGCAGGGAAGAAAAAAAGUCCUUUGGACUUUGGACGGUACCUGACUAAGAAGCCCCGGCUAACUACGUGCCAGCAGCCGCGGUAAUACGUAGGGGGCAAGCGUUAUCCGGAUUUACUGGGUGUAAAGGGAGCGUAGACGGCUGUGCAAGUCUGAAGUGAAAGCCCAGGGCUCAACCCUGGGACUGCCUUGGAAACUGUGGAGCG
rnacentral:rRNA from 1 species